AGCAUUCGUUUUUACUCACCAAAGCAUCAACACAGUGUGAUCAAAGACUUAGUAAUUUAGUUGUAGCAAGCAGCCAGUGUUAGUUUUCAUUUCAGACCCAACAUUCAUUACGACUCAUUUGUGGCCCAAAAACGAGAAGCUAGCUUUGAAGUGGAACCGGUUUGUCAGGUUGAAGCGAGCGGAUUGGAGUAAGGGAACCGCAGGCACGUCUACUGUAUGAGGUGCUCAUUUAACCCCAGAGGAUUUCGAUGGCUAUAACCAGCGGAAGGCAUGAUUCGGAAUGCGACUGAAACCAGGUGCUUUGCCGAGCUACCGGUAACUUUACAUCACGAGUGUCAGCAGUGAUGGAGAUAAACCGGUGAACCAUACUAGCCGUAGCAUCCUGUCCAUGUCCCUUGUACUGCGUGGCUCUCCUCAUCCCUCCGCUUCUCUGGCCUGCUCUGAAACAGCUUGAGUACUCACGCAGAACCUGAAUACCACCUCAGUCCAACAUCAGCCUUCUGUCACGCUGCCAUCAACACACCUGCAUCCAGCCCUAAACUGACUCCUGUUUGCCUGCUGUAACUGUCAUUAGGGUUUUAUUACACCGAGUUGUUCCCUUUUAUCCUCUGCCCUUGUUUACUUCCCAUUACUGAGAUGAGAUAAUGGGAUUAGAGUAAGCAGCACCUGUAACAAGCCUAACUCCACACCCGCGCUCGGUCUAUGUUCAUCGGAUGUUGUGCUCCUUGACACUCCUCACAACAAGCGCUCUACAUCUUUGCUGCUGCCGCCAAGCUUUCAGAGUGGAACUCAACUAACCAUAAAGAAAUGUACACAAUUAUUUAUUGAAUUUCUAAAUUGUAUUGUUAUUGUAUAUUAACUAUCAUUAUUAUAGGGACUGUGUCCACAAAGUGGAAUGUUGACAGAUAAAAAAAAAUAAAAAAAGACCCAUGAUGAAAGUGUUGUAUUGGUAUAACAUAUAUUAAUAAAAAGGUAAAAACAUGUUUGAAUUCUUCUUAUGGUAACUUGAAGCCGGUGUAGGGCAUGUUCUCCUCAUUUGGAAACCUAUUUCUUGUCCCAUUGACUGCACACACUGGAAUUGGCACACAGUUGUGCUGCCCCAGAUAGCCCCAAUUCCAGGUGAUAAACUACCCGUAGGCAACGGUUCUGAACUUCCUAAAAAGUGUACUACUAGGGGGAGUGGAGUAACAUUAUUUGAGUUCAUUAUUGCAUUAGAUUAGUGGGGAUUCUAUUUCUAGAUUAACUAUAUUGACAUCCAUGCAGAACGUGGAGAGGCCAGAAUGUUGUGUCAUACAGCCCACUCCUUCCUCUGUCAUCGUGGACGUGCCGCUCUCGCUUUGUUUGGUAGUUAACUCGGCCUACAGUCCUUACCAUGAUGGGCCCCAGAUGUCAAUAUACCCCAAUUGAGUGCGCCUUUUGGUGGAAGUAUCUGGGAACGAGAUUUGCUAGCAGGCUACCUAACCUUCACAACCAAGAGGGCAUAGAGGAACAGUUUAGGAGGUAAGCACCUAUCAGAUCCCCCUGCUGUCCUUCACCACUCGGUGCAGUCUGCUGACCAUUGCUGAGGCCAGGAAGAUGUCCGCCAGCCGAAGUAGGAGCCAAGUUCAUUGCCAUGCAAUGCUCUACCGACCGAGGUAGGCUUUGGCUUCCAGGAAACCAUGAGAAGGGAGUGGGCCACCCGACCAACACCAUUGCUGUGUGUGGUUAAACUCCAGCAGCUCCUCUAGGUGCUUCAGAAGACCUACUUUCUUUUAGAUCCUGCUGAAACGGUCCACUAUCAGCCAGGUGAGGAUGCUCUCCCAUGGAAAGGAUGAGCUGUUAUGGCAACAAAAUGGCUGAAAGUUGCCUGAGUCGUGCCUUGUUUUCUGAAAAGUUUAAAUUUACUCCUGAAGAUCUUAGUGCAUUAAACUGACAACUACAGACAAGACUGUUAAAGGCAAAGCAUGUUUUCCUGUAAUCGAGAAUCUGCAAUAUAUUAAAGUAGCAAGUUAGGAUCCUCCUCAUCCCCAUUUUGCACUAUUGAGAGCAUCGUGUUGGACUGUAUCACAGCCUGGUAUGGCAAUUGCACCGUCCAUAACCGCAGGGCUCUCCAGAGGGUGGAGCGGUCAGCCCAACGCAUCACCAGAGGCACACUGCCUGCCCUCCAGGACAUCUACAGCAUCUGGUGUCACAGGAAGGUCAAGAGAAUCAUCAGCCUCAGCCACCUGAGCCAUGGCCUCUUCACCCCGCUACGAUCUACAAGGCGGCGACAGUACAGGUGCAUCAAAGCUGGGACAGAGAGACUGAGAAACUGCUUGUAUAUCCAGGUAUAGAGUGCAUUUGGAAAGUAUUCAGACAUCUUGACCUUUUCCAUAUUUUGUUACAUUACAGUCAAUUCUAAAAUGGAUUUAAAAAAUCGAAAUAAACUCAAAAAUCUACACACAGUAGCACAUAAUGACAAAGCGAAAACAGGUUUUUUAUUCAGACCCUUUACAAUGAGACUUGAAAUUGAGCU